UUCCAGAUAUGAGGCCGUUCACUGCCACC
rnacentral:piRNA from 1 species